rnacentral:rRNA from 1 species
GACGAACGCUGGCGGCGUGCUUAACACAUGCAAGUCGAACGAAGAGCGAUGGAAGCUUGCUUCUAUCAAUCUUAGUGGCGAACGGGUGAGUAACGCGUAAUCAACCUGCCCUUCAGAGGGGGACAACAGUUGGAAACGACUGCUAAUACCGCAUACGAUCUAACCUCGGCAUCGAGGAUGGAUGAAAGGUGGCCUCUAUUUAUAAGCUAUCACUGAAGGAGGGGAUUGCGUCUGAUUAGCUAGUUGGAGGGGUAACGGCCCACCAAGGCGAUGAUCAGUAGCCGGUCUGAGAGGAUGAACGGCCACAUUGGGACUGAGACACGGCCCAGACUCCUACGGGAGGCAGCAGUGGGGAAUCUUCCGCAAUGGACGAAAGUCUGACGGAGCAACGCCGCGUGAGUGAUGACGGCUUCGGGUUGUAAAGCUCUGUUAAUCGGGACGAAAGGCCUUCUUGCGAAUAGUUAGAAGGAUUGACGGUACCGGAAUAGA